rnacentral:rRNA from 1 species
AUUGAACGCUGGCGGCAUGCCUUACACAUGCAAGUCGAACGGCAGCGCGGGGCAACCUGGCGGCGAGUGGCGAACGGGUGAGUAAUAUAUCGGAACGUGCCCUGGAGUGGGGGAUAACGUAGCGAAAGUUACGCUAAUACCGCAUACGAUCUGAGGAUGAAAGCAGGGGACCUUCGGGCCUUGUGCUCCUGGAGCGGCCGAUAUCUGAUUAGCUAGUUGGUGGGGUAAAAGCCUACCAAGGCGACGAUCAGUAGCUGGUCUGAGAGGACGACCAGCCACACUGGAACUGAGACACGGUCCAGACUCCUACGGAGGCAGCAGUGGGGAAUUUUGGACAAUGGGGGCAACCCUGAUCCAGCAAUGCCGCGUGUGUGAAGAAGGCC